UACAAUGACUCUCGGCAACGGAUAUCUCGGCUCUUGCAUCGAUGAAGAACGUAGCGAAAUGCGAUACUUGGUGUGAAUUGCAGAAUCCCGUGAACCAUCGAGUCUUUGAACGCAAGUUGCGCCCGAAGCCAUUAGGUUGAGGGCACGCCUGCUUGGGUGUCACA
rnacentral:rRNA from 1 species